rnacentral:rRNA from 1 species
UGCGACGCAGCUAACGCAUUAAGCGCCCCGCCUGGUGAGUACGAUCGCAAGAUUAAAACUCAAAGGAAUUGACGGGGCCCCGCACAAGCAGCGGAGCAUGCGGCUUAAUUCGACGCAACGCGAAGAACCUUACCAAGGCUUGACAUAUACCGAAAAGCAGCAGAGAUGUUGUGUCCGCAAGGGCGGUAUACAGGUGGUGCAUGGUUGUCGUCAGCUCGUGUCGUGAGAUGUUGGGUUAAGUCCCGCAACGAGCGCAACCCUCGUUCUGUGUUGCCAGCAUUUAGUUGGGGACUCACAGGAGACUGCCGUGGUCAACACGGAGGAAGGUGGGGAUGACGUCAAAUCAUCAUGCCCCUUAUGUCUUGGGCUGCACGCAUGCUACAAUGGCAGGUACAAAGGGCUGCGAUACCGUAAGGUGGAGCGAAUCCCAAAAAGUCUGUCUCAGUUCGGAUUGAGGUCUGCAACUCGACCUCAUGAAGUCGGAGUUGCUAGUAAUCGUAGAUCAGCAACGCUACGGUGAAUACGUUCCCGGGGCUUGUACACACCGCCCGUCACGUCACGAAAGUCGGUAACACCCAAAGUCAGUGCCCAACCGCAAGGAG